rnacentral:rRNA from 1 species
AUUAAACGCUGGCGGCAUGCCUUACACAUGCAAGUCGAACGGCAGCACGGGGGCAACCCUGGUGGCGAGUGGCGAUCGGGUGAGUAAAGCAUCGGAACGUGCCCUGGAGUGGGGGAUAACGUAGCGAAAGUUACGCUAAUACCGCAUAUUCUGUGAGCAGGAAAGCAGGGGAUCGCAAGACCUUGCGCUCUGGGAGCGGCCGAUGUCGGAUUAGCUAGUUGGUGGGGUAAAGGCCUACCAAGGCGACGAUCCGUAGCGGGUCUGAGAGGAUGAUCCGCCACACUGGGACUGAGACACGGCCCAGACUCCUACGGGAGGCAGCAGUGGGGAAUUUUGGACAAAUGGGCGAAAGCCUGAUCCAGCCAUGCCGCGUGAGUGAAGAAGGCCU